rnacentral:tRNA from 1 species
GGGGAUUUAGCUUAAUGGAUAAAGCAAGGGUGGCCACAUUAACGAGACCUAAGAUACAGGUUCGAUUCCUGUAAUCUCCA